rnacentral:lncRNA from 1 species
AAUUUGGGCCUGCAGUUCCUGCAACUUUGGGCUCUUAUGUCUUGGAAGUCUUGGUUUCCAAGACAGGAAGUCUAUGGGAGGCAACACAAAGUUUCCACUGGAUUGAGGAGGACUGAUCCAAUCACAGAGAGAGGGUUGAUUGCUGACCGAAUGAGGACAAGGACGGAUUUGCAGAAUUCUGGUUGCUCUGUUCCUGGAAGUCAGGCUUCCAAGAGGAGUUGACAUGGACCAAUGGGGUUUCGCCACAUAGCCAAGACAACGGGGUGAGCAACUGGCUUUCCAAUGUGUUUUCCAUGGAGUCUCUUCCUGGAGGAAUGAAUGGAUUAAAAUCUCUGAAGGCACUGAACUCACACAGGCCAGGUCUCUGCUGAGUUCACACUGUUGCCUUUGGUGAACUUCAACCCUGAAUAAAACCUUUCUUUUGGGCGUGACGCUGGGGACUAAAGCCGGUCUUCACACAUACUAGGCAAGUGUUCUUUCUACCAACGAGGUACAUCCCUAGGCCUUCUAUGUACUUCUGAUUUUUGAGAGAAUCAAAAGUCUGUGUGAAACGCUGAUUUUGGACUUUGGUUCUCUGGCUUCCGCUUCCAGAGUGCUGAGGUAAGUGUGUUCCACCAUGCUGCGUUCCUGAUAUUUGCCUCACAGCAAAGUUAAAAAAACUGUUCGUGUUCUCUGUUUAUGUAGCGAGCUCUGUAUAUCCCUCAGGAGUUCCUCCAAAGGAAUGAGCCUGUAACAUCAUUGUACAGGGAGCCAUCAGAAACAGGCUCAGCACUGCUAAGCUACUCUUCCCUGAUCCACAGACUUGAAUUUUUAUCAUUAUCUGGACUGAUUUAGGCUCAUAGAAAAGCCUUUAUUUUCCUUCAAACUUUUGAGCGUUCUGUCACUGGCUCGCUGGCAGAAGAUUAAGAAAGAGACACAUAAACAAUUAACAAAGAAACAGUAAUGGAAAAAGUGAACCCUCGCCAGUCAUGCCUGCACAACUGUUUUAUCAUCUGCACUUGUAAUUUUUUUCUUUUACGUUAUGUUUUAUGGUGUGUAAAUUUAGUUAAGGUGACACUUUAGCUAAACAAGUGCUUUUGUGUGAGUUCACAGUUUAUAUGAUACUAUGAAAUAUUUGGACAGUGAGUGCCCUUCAGCAAAAAAGCGCCAUGACGUCCAGGAUCUCUCCCUCCAAAGCCAUCUGCUGUACAGAGAUGGAAGAGGAAGAAAAACCAUAGCUGGAAUUUCCAGGCCCGGGUUUGCUAAUGAGUUGCUGGUGAGACCGUGGUAGACUUUUGUAUAUUAAAUAUGCGAUCCUAUGUUUUCAUUGUUUUGUUUUCAGAAAGGCUGUCCUGGAACUCACCACAUAGACCAACCUGGUCUCUAUCUCACAGGGACCCAUCUGCCUCUUUGUGUUGAGAUUAGCAAUUGUUCUUAUUACUGAAUUUCUUUUUCUUUCCGAGACAGGGUUUCUCUGUCGAACUCAGAAAUCCGCCUGCCUCUGCCUCCCGAGUGCUAGGACUAAAGGCAUGCACCACCACGGCCGCCCGGCUGAGUUAUUCAGGUUUUAUUCAAGAUUGAAGUUCACCACUUGAGUCCUCUCUCCAGCCCCAGACUGGCUUUAGCCUGCCAUCCUUUUGCCUUCGUUUCUGGAGGCUGAGAUUACAGACAUGCAUCACCACGCACAACCCUGCUGAUUUUGGUCUUUGUCAUAUUUGAUGUCGGUGUUAUUCUGGCUCGGCAAGAAGAAUUUGGGCGAUUUUACUGCUUACUUGACUCUGAAAUAAAAUUUAGGUCCUUUAGUUUAUUGUGUGUUUAUUUAAUAGAUAAACCUUGGCAGUAGGGAUAUAGCAGUAAUCAAAAUGAACAAAAAUCCUUUGCAUCUUAGUGGGGGAAGCAGGUCAUGAACAAAUAAA